rnacentral:snRNA from 1 species
UUGCUCAGGCCCAGUUGAGAACACUGUGAGAUCCUGAGUAUCCAGCACAUAUACUAAAACUGGAAUGAAACAGAGAAGAUUAGCAUAGCCCCUGCACAAGGUGACACACACAGAAAAAAGAAAUUAGAGGGCACC